rnacentral:misc_RNA from 1 species
ACAUUCUUCAACCUUUCUUUAGUUUCUCAACUGGGAAAGGCUUGGACUUUGGGGGUUUUUCAUUGCUGGCCUCUCUUGAAGCCAGCUCCUCCUAAAUGGAUUAGUGGGGUCUGCUUUGCUGAUCCUUGACGUGAUAAGAUGUUUCUACGUCUUGGGUUUCGCACUGUUGCUUUAGACCUCGCUUCUAACCGUCUUGCAUCCAAGACAGAGUUAUGAA